GAAACCGCAAAAGGCACACAUGGGGCUGGGCAAGGCAGAAGGAGGGUAACAGGCAAGGUGCAGCCACCAUUUUUGCACCUUUCUCCAUGCACAGAGAGAGAAAAGAACAAGCUGCCUGUCCUUUCUGAGACCAGACAAGGGAUGUGAGGAAACUGAGCAGAAGCAAUGGAGCCAUCCUCUAGCAGAGGCGUUUUCCCGCCUUUUCCUUCUCUCCCGCCAUGAAGAGGCUAAAUUAACGCCAGGCUCAAAAUGGCUCCCUUUAGGUACAUGCCUCUUCCUUCCGUCCUUUCUUUCAUGAUGAUUCAAAAGGUUCUCCUGCCCUCUUUCUCCCCGCUGGAAUAAGCCCUUCUCAAUGGCCCUUCUAAACAGCUACCGUCUGAAAUAAAUUAAUCUCUACACA